rnacentral:rRNA from 1 species
CUGUGAUGGUACCAGAGGAGGAAGCACCGGCCAACUCUGUGCCAGCAGCCGCGGUAAUACAGAGGGCGGCAAGCGUUGUUCGGAAUUACUGGGCGUAAAGCGUGCGUAGUCGGUAUUGAGAGUCGCGGGUGAAAUCCCAGGGCUUAACCCUGGAACUGCCUGCGAGACCUCAGUACUAGAGUGUGAGAGGGGAUAGUGGAAUACCAAGUGUAGCGGUGAAAUGCGUAGAGAUUUGGUGGAACACCGGUGGCGAAGGCGGCUAUCUGGCUCACAACUGACGAUCAGGCACGAAAGCGUGGGUAGCAAACAGGAUUAGAUACCCUGGUAGUCCACGCCGUAAACUAUGCAUACAAGCUGUAGUGAGAUUUUACUCUUGCUGUGGCGAAGCUAACGCAAUUAGUAUGCCGCCUGGGGAGUACGGUCGCAAGACUAAAACUCAAAGGAAUUGACGGGGGCCCGCACAAGCGGUGGAUUAUGUGGUUUAAUUCGAAGCAACGCGCAGAACCUUACCUAGGUUUGACAUCCCUUGACAUCCUUAGAAAUAAGGCUUUGUAGCAAUACACAAGGAGACAGGUGCUGCAUGGCUGUCGUCAGCUCGUGUUGUGAAAUGUUGGGUUAAGUCCCGCAACGAGCGCAACCCCUAGAUUUAGUUGCCAGCAUUAAGUUGGGCACUNUAAAUUAACUGCCAGCGUUAAGCUGGAGGAAGGUGGGGACGACGUCAAGUCCUCAUGGCCCUUACACCUAGGGCUACACACGUAAUACAAUGGAUGGGACAAAGGGCAGCGAACCUGCGAGGGGGAGCUAAUCUCAAAAACCCAUCCUCAGUUCGGAUUGGAGGCUGCAAUUCGCCCCCAUGAAGGCGGAAUCGCUAGUAAUCGUGGAUCAGAACGCCACGGUGAAUACGUUCCCGGGCCUUGUACACACCGCCCGUCACACCAUGGGAGUUGACUCAACCAGAAGUCGCUGUCGCCAACCGCAAGGCAG